GGGUGAGCAUAAACAGGAACUGGCUUUAAAAUACUUGAAUCAUGAUGUACUACAGCACAACGGUACUGUGUAUUGUUUCACAUCUCGUUUAUUGACCACGCUGUAUUUUAUUUUGAUUUUUUUUUUUUAAAUAACAUUGCCAUGUGAAUGCGUCAUCAGGGACGACUACGGGGCAAUAAGCUAACAUUGUUACACUACAUUGCCAAGAAACGUUACAGUAGUUCCCACUGCAACACGAAUAUCUAGGUACCCGCAGACUUUCAAGCAUUGGUCCAUCGAUUCUACGCUGUUCAAGCUGAAAGGGUAGAAGCUUACAGGCUUUUUGAGGAAGGCCAUGAAGCAUACUUGAGGACAGGACCCCAUUAUGACUUUGACCACUACAGACAACUUGUACAUGAGAUAACACAGGCUUUUUGUGGCCUAUCCAAGGAGGUGCUUGAGAUCAAGGAGCGACUGCACCAAGACUUUGACCGUCCAGAUCUUUCUGAACACAUUGACAAGCUGCAAAGCAAAGAGAAGCAGAAGCUUGAGCUGACAGCCAAGCUCCAGCUGGCAAAGCAGAAGGCUCAGGAUCACCCAGAAGACCAGGACUGUCAGGAGAAGAUCCAAGAGAUCAAGCAAAACAUCAUAAAGAAUAAGGAGGCACUGAGUGAGAUUCUGCAGGACUUUAAAUACGACACUGAGGAUUCAGAGUGAUGGGGACACCCAGGAGGCUGCUGCCCAGACAGGGAUUGAUGGACUUUGCUGAAGCCUCCCCCUUGUUAUUUCAUUAAUUUGCUUAAGUUAUUGAUUGCCUCCUGGCUCCACCUGACUGCUGUAUUUUCUUGUAGCCCAGGGUCAUUCUGCACCCUGCUUUUAUUUGCAUGCACAUAUGAGGCCUUAGCAGGGAAAACCCAUUCUUGUCCUGUGUGGUCUUGUAGAAAUUAAGACAAUAACUAUUGUUUUAGCCUCGACUACUAUGUCAUUAUCAUAAAUGUAUUUAGAUAAAACAUUCCAAGGCAAGUCUCAUUCCUUUAUUGUUUUUUGACAACUACUGCCGAAAUGACAUUUACAUGAUUUUUGUGGAUAAUUGGACAUAAUUUAAUGAGAACAAUUAAUUAGUAUUUCUUAAAUAUGCAGCUACAAAAAUAAAAGCAAUAUGAAAGUGUCUUCAUCAGCACAGUCACUCAAAAAGCGUAUUAACAGUUUAACCUUAUGACAAUUUCAGUAAGAGGAAUCCAGAGUGGUACAGACACUCAGGAUGAGAAGACUUCCAAUACAAACUGCAGAAUGCUUUAGUCACCAUGACCCAAAAGCCUGAGUUCCAUACAGAAACAUCUGAAGUUGGCUUGCUGUGUCUGGUAUGCCAACCCACAAAAUAUUGUAUUUGCAUUUGCUUACACAACACCAUGUUUUUGCUUGUUAUAAACACACAGAAAUAAAUUACCAUGAUACUUAA